UGGGGAAUAUUGCACAAUGGGCGCAAGCCUGAUGCAGCCAUGCCGCGUGUGUGAAGAAGGCCUUCGGGUUGUAAAGCACUUUCAGCGGGGAGGAAGGCGGUGAGGUUAAUAACCUCAUCGAUUGACGUUACCCGCAGAAGAAGCACCGGCUAACUCCGUGCCAGCAGCCGCGGUAAUACGGAGGGUGCAAGCGUUAAUCGGAAUUACUGGGCGUAAAGCGCACGCAGGCGGUCUGUCAAGUCGGAUGUGAAAUCCCCGGGCUCAACCUGGGAAAUGCAUUCGAAACUGGCAGGAUAGAGUCUUGUAGAGGGGGGUAGAAUUCCAGGUGUAGCGGUGAAAUGCGUAGAGAUCUGGAGGAAUACCGGUGGCGAAGGAGGCCCCCUGGACAAAGACUGACGCUCAGGUGCGAAAGCGUGGGGAGCAAACAGG
rnacentral:rRNA from 1 species